rnacentral:rRNA from 1 species
AGUGAACGCUGGCGGUAGGCCUAACACAUGCAAGUCGAACGGCAGCACAGUAAGAGCUUGCCCUUACGGGUGGCGAGUGGCGGACGGGUGAGGAAUACAUCGGAAUCUACUUUUUCGUGGGGGAUAACGUAGGGAAACUUACGCUAAUACCGCAUACGACCUACGGGUGAAAGCAGGGGAUCUUCGGACCUUGCGCGAUUGAAUGAGCCGAUGUCGGAUUAGCUAGUUGGCGGGGUAAAGGCCCACCAAGGCGACGAUCCGUAGCUGGUCUGAGAGGAUGAUCAGCCACACUGGAACUGAGACACGGUCCAGACUCCUACGGGAGGCAGCAGUGGGGAAUAUUGGACAAUGGGCGCAAGCCUGAUCCAGCCAUACCGCGUGGGUGAAGAAGGCCUUCGGGUUGUAAAGCCCUUUUGUUGGGAAAGAAAAGCAGCAGGUUAAUACCCCGCUGUUCUGACGGUACCCAAAGAAUGAGCACCGGCUAACUUCGUG